UACGAAGGGGGGCUAGCGUUGCUCGGAAUCACUGGGCGUAAAGCGCACGUAGGCGGAUUGUUAAGUCGGGGGUGAAAUCCUGAGGCUCAACCUCAGAACUGCCUUCGAUACUGGCAAUCUCGAGUCCGGAAGAGGUUGGUGGAACAGCUAGUGUAGAGGUGAAAUUCGUAGAUAUUAGCUAGAACACCAGUGGCGAAGGCGGCCAACUGGUCCGGUACUGACGCUGAGGUGCGAAAGCGUGGGGGAGCAAACAGG
rnacentral:rRNA from 1 species